AUGUUGAUAGAGGUUUAUUAAAGAUUUUAAGAAAAAAGAAACAAGCAAAAAAAGGUAAAGUUGCCAAAAAUAGCAACUUCCGGUUUUCCCAUGUAACUUCCGGUUUUCGGUUUCAUGUUUUUAGAGCGGGCGAAAUCCAGUACGUGGGCUAAGAUAUCUGUCGCCAUCCACACUCAAGCUCUGUCGGGGCAAUACUAGAUGGAGCAGAAAAUGAGAGGAUACAGUCAGUCGGCAUAGAUGAGGAACCCCGAGAAGCAGCCUGCAGAUCACACAGCGGCGGCGGCGGUGGCGGCGGCGGCAGCAUCACACCUGCCUGCUGGAGCCUACAGACCAACUACGACCCCCCAUCAGAGAAGAAAACAGUUAUG